GGAAGAGGAGGAAAUUAUUGGGUAUAAAUAUGGGUAUCCAAUUAACUACAAAACACAUCAUCCCACGCUAUAAACUUUGUGAAGUAUAACAAAUAGAAAGACAACAAUUUCAUCAUCAUGUCCUUCCCAUUCAAUCUAAAAUCAUGGCCAGCACUAAAGUUCUUGGAUGCACAAACUGUGGCAAAUGCUAUCAAGACAGAGAAUCCUAACUUUGAAAUAGUCACAGUGCCCGAAGGAACUCCAGUAACAAAGGAUAUUAUACCUGGUCGAGUUCGACUCGUUGUUGAUGCAAAUGGAAAAGUGGUGAAUGUUCCUCAAGAGGGUUGAAAUGUAAACCUACAUGUUUCAAAUAAUAAAUAAAAGUAAUAAACUACUUUUACUACUCUACAUACCUAAAUAAUUUGAGCAUUUCCCUUUCUUUUUUAAUUCAGUAUAGCAAUGGAAUGGAGGUAAUAAAAAUUUGAACCUCUCAAACUCAACUGAGGUUACAUAUAUCAGUUCAUUUCCAAAAUGUAUCUAUCAACAAUAUCUAUGAUCGAAUUUGAACCUUUUAAA